UGGAGGAGGACACCCCUAUGGGGCGUAAACUCCUUUUCUGCGGGAAGAACCCCCGGGAAUGCCCGGGCUGACGGUACCGCAGGAAUAAGGACCGGCUAACUCCGUGCCAGCAGCCGCGGUAAUACGGAGGGUCCAAGCGUUGUCCGGAAUUAUUGGGUGUAAAGGGUCCGCAGGCGGGACAGCAAGUCGGAGGUGAAAUCCCUCGGCUCAACCGAGGAAGUGCCUUCGAUACUGCUGUCCUUGAGUCCCGGAGAGGCUCCUGGAAUUCGUGGUGUAGCGGUGAAAUGCGUAGAUAUCACGAGGAACACCAGAAGCGAAAGCGAGGAGCUGGACGGGUACUGACGCUCAGGGACGAAAGCGUGGGGAGCAAACAGGAUUAGAUACCCUGGUAGUCCACGCCCUAAACGAUGGACACUGAGCGUUGCCCCUUCGGGGGCAGUGCUGUAGCUAACGCGUUAAGUGUCCCACCUGGGGAGUACGAUCGCAAGG
rnacentral:rRNA from 1 species